rnacentral:rRNA from 1 species
UGGCGGCGUGCUUAACACAUGCAAGUCGAACGGGAUCCCGGGUUUCGGCCUGGGUGAGAGUGGCGAACGGGUGAGUAAUGCGUGACCGACCUGCCCUGUACACCGGAAUAGCUCCUGGAAACGGGUGGUAAUGCCGGAUGCUCCAACAUGCUGCAUGGUGUGUUGGGAAAGAUUUAUCGGUAUGGGAUGGGGUCGCGUCCUAUCAGGUAGUCGGCGGGGUAACGGCCCACCGAGCCUACGACGGGUAGCCGGCCUGAGAGGGCGACCGGCCACAUUGGGACUGAGAUACGGCCCAGACUCCUACGGGAGGCAGCAGUGGGGAAUAUUGCACAAUGGGCGCAAGCCUGAUGCAGCGACGCCGCGUGCGGGAUGACGGCCUUCGGGUUGUAAACCGCUUUUGAUUGGGAGCAAGCGUGAGUGAGUGUACCUUUCGAAUAAGCACCGGCUAACUACGUGCCAGCAGCCGCGGUAAUACGUAGGGUGCAAGCGUUAUCCGGAAUUAUUGGGCGUAAAGAGCUCGUAGGCGGUUCGUCGCGUCUGGUGUGAAAGUCCAUCGCUUAACGGUGGAUCUGCGCCGGGUACGGGGCGGGCUGGAGUGCGGUAGGGGAGACUGGAAUUCCCGGUGUAACGGUGGAAUGUGUAGAUAUCGGGAAGAACACCAAUGGCGAAGGCAGGUCUCUGGGCCGUUACUGACGCUGAGGAGCGAAAGCGUGGGGAGCGAACAGGAUUAGAUACCCUGGUAGUCCACGCCGUAAACGGUGGAUGCUGGAUGUGGGGCCCUUUCCACGGGUCCCGUGUCGGAGCUAACGCGUUAAGCAUCCCGCCUGGGGAGUACGGCCGCAAGGCUAAAACUCAAAGAAAUUGACGGGGGCCCGCACAAGCGGCGGAGCAUGCGGAUUAAUUCGAUGCAACGCGAAGAACCUUACCUGGGCUUGACAUGUUCCCGGCGACGGCAGAGAUGUCGUUUCCCUUCGGGGCGGGUUCACAGGUGGUGCAUGGUCGUCGUCAGCUCGUGUCGUGAGAUGUUGGGUUAAGUCCCGCAACGAGCGCAACCCUCGCCCCGUGUUGCCAGCAUGUAAUGAUGGGAACUCACGGGGGACCGCCGGGGUUAACUCGGAGGAAGGUGGGGAUGACGUCAAAUCA